rnacentral:piRNA from 1 species
UUGAACAUUGUUACUGAUAGGGG